CCUACGGGAGGCAGCAGUGAGGAAUAUUGGUCAAUGGGCGUAAGCCUGAACCAGCGAAGUCGCGUGAGGGAUGAAGGUUCUAUGGAUCGUAAACCUCUUUUAUAAGGGAAUAAAGUUCGGGACGUGUCCCGUUUCGUAUUUACCUUAUGUAUAAGGAUCGGCUUAAUCCGGUCCAGCAGCCGCGGGAAUACGGAGGAUCCGAACGUUAUCCGGGUUUAUUUGGUUUAAAGUGUGCGUAGGCGGCCUUUUAAGUCAGCGGUGAAAGUCUGUGGCUCAACCCUAGGAUUGCCGUUGAAACUGGGAGGCUAGAGUAAGUUAGAGGCAAGCGGAAUGCGAGGUGAAGCGGUGAAAUGCUUAGAUA
rnacentral:rRNA from 1 species